rnacentral:rRNA from 1 species
GCAAGGAGCAACGACACGAGUGCUUCUCUCAAACAGAAAAAGAAAAGGGCUGAGCUAGGGUUUGAACCACCAUCUCUCCGGCCUGCCCGCCAGCAGCACGCCGGCGAGCCUGGCGUCCAUGGAGGCGAUGGGGGCGGGAGGGGCAUGGGCCAAGGGUCGGCCCGUGGUGGGGUGCUGGGCCGGGCGCGGCAGCACGGGACCCGUCGAGGACAGGGGCGCGUGUAGUGGGUGUUCCUCGGCUGCCCCGGAGUGGGCAAGGGCACGUACGCAUGCCGCCUCUUGCGGCUCCUCGGCAUGCCCCACAUCGCCACCUGCGACCUUGUCUGCGGCGAGCUCGCCUCCCAAGGCCCCUCUCCAAGCAGGAGUUAAGGUUGUAUUUCUGAGGGGAGCAUGUCUAUUACCUUGAUUGAGUUGACUUUUGGCUAUUGUAUUAUUGUUACAACUUACCAGCGAAAUAGAAAGAGAGACAUGUCUGAAAAGGAUGCAGGCAGAUGGGGCAAUGCACCCAUGAGCUCGCCACUAUGCUUAUAACUAGCUUGUUCAAUUUCUCCUGAAGACGCUAAUGAUGAGCAACAUUCCUUGGGACACGCCGGAAAUCCAGAGGACACGAGUGGUGUCCCUUCAAAUGCAUGUAUCUUCCAAUAUGUAUUAUUUAACCUUAGUGAUUGUAUUUAUAGACACUUUGUGUUGCUUCUGUUUGUAGUUGCAGAAGUUUGAAGGAGUCAGGGUAGCUUCCAUAUCUGUAGUUAGGGCUGGCGAUUGUGAUUUUGGGCCUGUACUGAAUAAUUUUGGGAGCGGCUGGGUAAUUACAAGCCAGGAGGACUGCAUGUGAUGAGUUCAGGGCUUAAGGCACAAGAAUAACUACGGCCAUUUUAGCUCCAACAGUGGAGGACCUUUGCAAUAUUAUCAAGCUUUACGCCAAACUGGCACUCUUACUUGAUCCCGUAUUUACUCCUUCAAACAAUUUGUGCACAAAGUUGAGGAAGUUGGGGCCAAUAAUCAUGUUAGAAUAAACUUCUUUCUUCCUUUAACAGUUUGUUUCCAUAAUGUGGGACAGCAGGAUCCGCGUCCCACUAUGAGGGACCGACCUUCAGAGAUCAGCUACCGGCGUCAUACUGCCCCUGCAAGAGAGCAUGGAUCACCAUAUGGAAGGAGAUGCCAUCCUUACUGUCGUUGUCUUUGGCAUGUUGCUGCCAUCUUUCUAAUCCUUGCACUGUAGAUACCUCAGUCUAUCCAUAAUUUGUUUCAACUUGCCAUGUGUCCGUUCACCAACAGUACCGAGACCAUGCAACUUGGAACAUCAAAUACGUUGGAGACGUAUCAAGGAGGAAUGGUCGAACAAGGAGGAGGACGACGACAGCAAUGAUGAUGACGACGGCUGCGGCGAUGUAAAGCCAAUGAUCAGCGGCAAGAAGCGUCGUCGCCGAGAUGAUGUUGCGGGGCCAUCCAACAACAACAAUAAGAAGAAGAAGGACUAAAUUAAGUAGACUGUAUAUAUCUCUAUUUUUGUUAGCUCAUAUUAAUUCGUUAUCUCAAUUUCCCCUGUCAAUCUCAUCACAGACAAUUAGUAAUACGUAUUCGACAGAGAUGUUUUACAUUAUCGCCCACAUGUUGGUUUCUUGAAUUGUGUGCCCUAACGAGCACACAAUUAAAAAAAAAAGACCGUAUGGGCUGUCUAUAAUGAUCACACACAAUU